GACGAACGCUGGCGGCGUGCUUAACACAUGCAAGUCGAACGGAAAGGCCCUGCUUUUGUGGGGUGCUCGAGUGGCGAACGGGUGAGUAACACGUGAGUAACCUGCCCUUGACUUUGGGAUAACUUCAGGAAACUGGGGCUAAUACCGGAUAGGAGCUCCUGCUGCAUGGUGGGGGUUGGAAAGUUUCGGCGGUUGGGGAUGGACUCGCGGCUUAUCAGCUUGUUGGUGGGGUAGUGGCUUACCGAGGCUUUGACGGGUAGCCGGCCUGAGAGGGUGACCGGCCACAUUGGGACUGAGAUACGGCCCAGACUCCUACGGGAGGCAGCAGUGGGGAAUAUUGCACAAUGGGCGGAAGCCUGAUGCAGAAACGCCGCGUGCGGGAUGACGGCCUUCGGGUUGUAAACCGCUUUCGCCCGUGACGAAGCGUGAGUGACGGUAAUGGGUAAAGAAGCACCGGCUAACCACGUG
rnacentral:rRNA from 1 species